CUUGUGGAUGUCCUCUUCUCUGACCCUUAUUUGAUGAUAAUCCGCACAUAUGUCGAGGUUGAUGAAAAUCGUUGCUUCAUAGAGCUCAUCCAGUAACUCGUCCACUACAGAUAUAAGGGAUAAAGGUAUAGUCUCAGAUUUGGUGGAAUCGUUUGAGAUUAUUAGAAUGAUCAGUUUUUUGAAUUGGAGACAGGCAGGCAGCUGGUUUGGUUCUAUGAAAACAGUGAGAUUGACUAAAUGUUGGCAUUUGUUUCUAUUUUGAGAUCAACCUGAAAAAUCAGG